CUCCUCCGCAAGCUGUCAACAAAGGAGAAGCAGGUGAGAGGUUUCGGGAUUCUGGAUGACAAUGUCUCGGUGCCCUCAAGGCCACUGAUUCCUCGCCACACAGUCUCAGUAACUCCGCAGCCUCUAGACACGGCUUUCCGGAAGCGGCCUGCAAGCUGGACCCCAGCGAGUUCGCAGGAUCUGCGUAGUCCCUGCUCGCGAUUAGAGCGCACACGAGUUUACUCCUGUCCAAGUAUUCUGAUAAGCUUCCUCUACUGCCCUCUCGUGGCCACAGUCCUCAGUGGUAUAAAUCUAAAAAACAACAAAAAUCACUGCGAAUACCUAAAAGCAAUUGCACCAAAUUCUUAGAGCAGUAGCGGCAGAAGAAACGAAGGGAGGGAAGGAUGAAGAAAGGGAGCCGGAGAAAAGAGAGAGAGAGAGGAAGAAGAAAAGGAAAUCUAGACUAACCAGUCAUCUCGAACAAUCGCACAUUCAACACAGGACUGGGGGAUCUAGGCUUUACUCCAACAUCUGCAGAAAUCAGCGAAUUCUUCAAAAGUUCUUCAUUGUAAUUAGCUGAAAUUUGUGUUCCUGUAACUUUCACUGGCUACUGCUAGUUUUGUCCUGUGGGACCACAAAGAAUCUGUCUAAGCUGUGUUGCCUGAUCCAUACCUGUUCUUUCCUUCAAACUUCUUUAGCAUUCAUUGUUGGUAACACACCAAUAAAUUAUCAUAUUUACCCUGUGU
rnacentral:lncRNA from 1 species